rnacentral:rRNA from 1 species
CACGUAGGGUGCGAGCGUUGUCCGGAAUUAUUGGGCGUAAAGAGCUCGUAGGCGGUGUGUCGCGUCGAUCGUGAAAACUUGGGGCUUAACCCUGAGCUUGCGGUCGAUACGGGCAUCACUUGAGUUCGGCAGGGGAGACUGGAAUUCCUGGUGUAGCGGUGAAAUGCGCAGAUAUCAGGAGGAACACCGGUGGCGAAGGCGGGUCUCUGGGCCGUAACUGACGCUGAGGAGCGAAAGCAUGGGGAGCGAACAGG